rnacentral:misc_RNA from 1 species
GAUGAAGAACGUAGCGAAAUGCGAUAAGUAGUGUGAAUUGCAGAAUUCAGUGAAUCAUCGAAUCUUUGAACGCACAUUGCGCCCCUUGGUAUCCCGAGGGGCAAGCCUGUUCGAGCGUCAUUUCACCACUCAAGCCUGGCUUGGUGUUGGGCGACGUCCUCUUUGGGGACGCGCCUCGAAACGCUCGGCGGCGUGGCACCGGCUUUAAGCGUAGCAGAAUCUUUCGCUUUGGAAGUCGGGGCCCCGUCUGCCGGAAGACCUGCUCGCAAGGUUGACCUCGGAUCAGGCAGGGAUACCCGCUGAACUUAAGCAUAUCAAUAAGCGGAGGA